UACGUAGGUGACCAGCGUUGUCCGGAUUUACUGGGCGUAAAGAGCGCGCAGGCGGUCGUUCAAGUCGAGUGUGAAAGCCCCCCGGCUCAACUGGGGAGGGUCAUUCGAUACUGAUCGACUUGAAGGCAGGAGAGGGAAGUGGAAUUCCCGGUGUAGUGGUGAAAUGCGUAGAUAUCAGGAGGAACACCAGUGGCGAAGGCGGUUCUCUGG
rnacentral:rRNA from 1 species